UUAGAACUACGCGGGCAAAAUUCCCUCUCCUUUUUUUCAUAGGGCACGAUAUCUUCCAGAAGGGCUCAAUUCCCCCUCUCCAACUCACGAAAAUUUUCAGGAGUUUCAAUUUUCGCUUCCCAAUUCGCUAAAAAGUUGUUAUUCUUACAGAUAUUGGCAAGAUACAUGCCUUAGAAGAUUUGAGUAAGUCCCUCAAGAUAUAGAUGAGAUGUUGAAUUCAGCAUAUGAUGGAAAAAGCGAGUUUGCUUCGCGCAUGGAUAUAAGAGUAUCAUCAAGUGGCAACAAUACAAAUCACCAAGAAAUUAAACUGUUUGUGAAACAACAACCUAUUUUAUCACCGCAUAUUUGUUCAUAUACUAACACAGGCAUAGUCUCCGACCUCAAAGAAAAACUUACUCCAGAGCAGUAUAAAAUAUUGGGUUCUACUUAUUUUGGAAGUCUCCUUGAUAUGAAUCGUUGUGAGGUACAACAUCAAUUGUUCAAGCUUCAUGGUUUUGUAGUUAGAAGGAAGUCCUGACGACGUAUUUUCAAUAUACGUCAAUGGUACAACAUUAUCCUUCUCAAUCAGGGAGUUUGCGCUUGUCACUGGUCUCAUAUGUGUUGGUGACCCACAAGAUUUUCAGUUCAACACAAAUGUGCCUAACCGGAUUGUUGAGACAUACUUUGGCGGUGCAAAGAAUGUCAAAGUGUUCAUAUAUGAUCAUUUCAAGUAUUCAGUCGGUGUAUUCAAUAUUUUUGUGCAUCUGAAUUCAUCUAUAAUCAACAGGUUGUGUUUGUAUGGUUACAACAUGUUGUAUUCAUAU